rnacentral:rRNA from 1 species
CCUACGGGGGGCAGCAGUGGGGAAUAUUGGACAAUGGGCGAAAGCCUGAUCCAGCAAUGCCGCGUGAGUGAAGAAGGCCUUAGGGUUGUAAAGCUCUUUCACCGGUGAAGAUAAUGACGGUAACCGGAGAAGAAGCCCCGGCUAACUUCGUGCCAGCAGCCGCGGUAAUACGAAGGGGGCUAGCGUUGUUCGGAAUUACUGGGCGUAAAGCGCGCGUAGGCGGAUAGAUAAGUCAGAGGUGAAAUCCCGGGGCUCAACCCCGGAAUUGCCUUUGAUACUGUUUAUCUUGAGUGCAGAAGAGGUAAGUGGAUUUCCGAGUGUAGAGGUGAAAUUCGUAGAUAUUCGGAGGAACACCAGUGGCGAAGGCAGCUUACUGGUCUGCAACUGACGCUGUGGCGCGAAAGCGUGGGGAGCAAACAGGAUUAGAUACCCGCGUAGUC